rnacentral:lncRNA from 1 species
GGGAAGAGUUAACAGGACAGCUCUACAUAGAGAGAGACGUGUGAUAAGAAUGUGGAAAAUGAAUGAAUGGGUGGCAUAUAGAUGUGCCUGUUGCCGAAGCCGUGUUGCUGGUUAAUCCUCAGAUGUCAGAUUUCCGUAAGGCCAACAUGUGACUCAAAGCUUGCCACUCAACAGAGAAUACUGGGCUGUGCUGGUAUUAAGAGGCUGGCUGGAAGCUGGGCUCCCACCGUGCACUAGCCUGACUCCCCGGCGCUUUCUGCGUGUGGGUGGGCAUGCACGUGUGCGUGUGUGUGCGCGAGGGUAUACAUUUUUAUGCAGUGGGUGUUUAAGGAGCUGAGCACUGAAGCUGGAUUUCCACAAACGAUCAUCACGAGCGCUCCAGGCACAUCAAACUUCCUCUCUUGGAUGGAGGAUGAAGCUGUCCUGGACAGAGGGGCUUCCUUCCUUAAGCAUGUGUGUGAUGAAGAAGAAGUAGAAGGUGAGCUUGCUGGGUCCGGGGAAGUGUACGUUCCUAUCCACGUGUCUUGGUACGCAGUCGCACUCAUCAUACAUUUCAUAGAUCUUAGCAUUUUGAAGUUAAAAGCCAGAGCUUUCCGGUGGUGCUUCAUUAAUCUCCACAUUUUGUCUGCGCACAGAAAGUAAUUCUAAGAACUUCUCUGGGUCAGAAAAGUCAGCGUCUGAAUCAGUGUGGUCCUGCCUGAUGAACGACCGCAACAGAAAGGGUCUUACUUGGAAGCAGGUGCCUGUGUUAGGGGUGCCUCUCUGUGAAAAAUAACUGUUUUGCCAGAUAAUAUUAACCACCUUCCACUGACUAAUUUGAGGAAGCUCUUAGAUUUAUAUAAAUGUAUUUGGCAGUAUCUUCUAGUAUGCUCUCGCAUAGCCUGCAGGGUAGAGAAACAGAUGUUAGAGAGAGAAUGAUACCAUUGCUGCAGGAUAUAGAGUGGUAAUUAUGGAUGCGUCUCAGUUCGGAAAAGAUGGACAAGCA